CUACGGGUCGCAGCAGUGAGGAAUAUUGCACAAUGGGGGGAACCCUGAUGCAGCAACGCCGCGUGGAGGAUGACGCAUUUCGGUGUGUAAACUCCUUUUAUAUGUCAAGAAAAUGACGGUAGCAUAUGAAUAAGCACCGGCUAACUCCGUGCCAGCAGCCGCGGUAAUACGGAGGGUGCAAGCGUUACUCGGAAUCACUGGGCGUAAAGGACGCGUAGGCGGGUUGGAAAGUCAGGUGUGAAAUCCUACAGCUUAACUGUAGAACUGCACUUGAAACUUCUAAUCUAGAGUAUGGGAGGGGGAGAUGGAAUUAGUGGUGUAGGGGUAAAAUCCGUAGAUAUCACUAGGAAUACCUAAAGCGAAGGCGAUCUCCUGGAACAUUACUGACGCUAAGGCGUGAAAGCGUAGGGAGCAAACAGGAUUAGAUACCCGCGUAGUC
rnacentral:rRNA from 1 species